rnacentral:rRNA from 1 species
AUUGAACGCUGGCGGCGUGCUUUACACAUGCAAGUCGGACGAGUGGCGAACGGGUGAGUAACGCAUCGGAACGUACCGAGUAAUGGGGGAUAACUGUCCGAAAGGACAGCUAAUACCGCAUAUUAUUCGAGCGGCCGAUGUCUGAGUAGCUGGUUGGCGCGGUAAAGGCCCACCAAGGCGACGAUCAGUAGCGGGUCUGAGAGGAUGAUCAGCCACACGGGGACUUAGACACGGCCCAGACUCCUCCGGGAGGCAGGUGAGGGGAAUAUUGGACAAUGGGCGCAAGCCUGAUACAGCCAUGCCGCGUGUCUGAAGAAGGCCUUGGAGUUGUAAGGGACUUUUGUCAGGGAAGCGGUACCUGAAGAAUAAGCACCGGCUAACUACGUGCCAGCAGCCGCAGUAAUAC